rnacentral:lncRNA from 1 species
UAGCCUUUGUGGUCGCAUGCUGUGGAGAUAAGUUGUUGUGUUUGUACGCAGGUGUUAGGAGAUAUCGCACCGUCGCUCUCUCUGGACGAGCUACAAAACUAUGAACAGUUGAGGCAGAAGAUCGAAGGACCUUCUAGAUGAAGUUGGGUUUCCACUCCCUGCUGACAUUCUUAAACUGCUAACACACCAAAACAUUCCCUGUCUUACAUUUUCGUUCGUACACAAGUUUUCCUCCCUGAAAACUUGGGCACUUCUAUAUCCAUUCCUGAUUUAUACAAUCACAUCCUUGUAGCAGCAUCUGCAUUGACAUCAGAAUGACAUUUUCUCUGAAGAGAAACAUCCUGUCAUUCUUCGUUAGCAGCUCUGCAACUAUUUUGAAGCCUUUUUUUUGCAGAUGAUGCGAAUCAACUUUGUAUAGUUAGUUUCGUUGAUGUACGCCUGUACCAUGUUGUAGUAAAUGAUAAAGAGAAUAGGAGUCCUCGGAUCAUCUGCUCGUUUGAACCAUUCAGUCAUCAGCCAUCGAAAAUAGCUGUCUGCUAUAUUUUUUUUCGUCAGCGACGAUCUGUCAGGGUCAGGGACUUUUCAUUGCAACGAGUGGGACGAACUUGUCCACUGAAAAUGAUGAGGCCCGACCCGAAGGGACGCAUCAAAUCCGAAUGAGCCUGUGAAGUCAAGCACUCGAAGCCUUAUCUGGGAAACAAAAUGCUAUUCCUGAUCUGACGGAAGCAUCCACCAAUACAGCUAGUUUGGGUACACACGCUGAACCAGCUAGUUCGCCUGGGAGAGGUCUCUGUCUUGUUUACAUGCCAUCGUCUAGAAGUUGUCUCGGAAAAAUUUUAAGCGAAUGUUGCAAUGAACAGAGUUCCUUUUGUUGCUGUGAUUUGUCAUUGGUCGAAGAGGACUAACUGCAGCGUUUGUCUACCUACAAUACUUGUUUCUUUGUUGUUGCUGUCUUGUAGUGCCAGCAGCGAUGCCUCCUUGUUCGUGCUCGGCAAGUCGGCCGGUGUGAGCAAAAUCCGUACGUCAUCGUCUCCAGUGGUGCCAUUCUCCGUGGCUCUGCACACGGUCGGGGACUCGGCGGCCUUGCUGGAUCAUUUGUGCCGCCAAACGGUAUGUUUCAGACUUCCUUGAAGGCAUUGAAUUGUAUGAUUUCAGUCGUUGCCACGACAUAGUUUAAAUUAUAAUCAAAUACUUGUAGAGUUUGACACAGGAUCACGGUAAUCUAAAACAUGUAGCUUCUUGCGAGCGAUACUCACCUCAACAUGGCAGUGUUAAAUAGCAAACCACCAAAAUAUAAACGAUCAGCAUGAUAGACCAAUAGAGGUAGCAUGUAGGAAUGUGGCCCGGAGGGCCAAACACACACACAAGUAUAGAUGAAUUUGUUUUUUUAAUUUAGCUUAGUUUACUGUAUUUUAUAUACCAUAUUUCACCUCUAUUUUUUUUAACAUGCCCCUAAUAAUCAUGUUUUGGGAAAAACUUUUUAGCAUCUUUUUAGAGUUGCUCUUAAACUAUUUAUCUUGAAUGUCUUGGUUGGCUACUACACAUUUAAUUACCCGAAGACUGCACACUCUUCGUUGUGCACCAAGGUAUAUAUAUAAGCGAAAGGUAUAUAUAUAAGCGAAACCAUUUUUUUAUUAAGGAAAAUAUAGACGAAACCAAUGUAAAGGCUGCUAUUUAUUGUAUUAGUGACGUCUUUUCCAGCUCUGUUAAAGAAGCAACAUAUUAAAGACACAAUAAUUGAACAAACUUUCGCAACAGAUAGUCUCGAGAAAGUUUGCUGCGAUGUGGUACCAGAAUAUAGGUUUUGCCAAAACCAUCUGCCACUUGCCCACUUCCUCACCCAAAAUUCUACAGUGCUCAUUUUUUUUUCUCUCCCCCUUCUCAAGUUUUUCAUUCCUGGUUUGGAGGAUAUACAAUUAUACACAAAUUUACCAUUUCCAUUAGCAAAGAAAGACAUUGGGCUCAAGCCCAGCCCAAACCGAUGGGAUCGGUCGACACCAAUCGAGGCACGCUGUGCGUCCCGCCACUGCAGACCGCAGUCCUAGGGUCGAGGGCAUUUUCGUCCGACUCUGCCAAACCCUCACACUGACGACCACUUAUAAAUUCGCUCUCUAGGGUUUACCUGCUCCGCCUCCGCCCAGCCAGCGCCGCCGCCGCUGCCGCUAGCGCUCCCCUCAGGUAACCAAGAAGAAGAACGCCCUUUCCCCUCGUUUUGAGGUCGACUUCGCGUUGUUCGUCUGCUAUUUCAUCGCCCGAAUCUGUGCAACCCUCCAGAUUCUAGAAAUCGUCGUGUCCUGAUCCUGGAUCUAAUUGUUUUAUCGGAAAUGAUUGCUUCAGGUAAGGAAGGAGGCAGGCGAGGAUGUCGCACCGUAAAUUCGAGCACCCGAGGCACGGUUCCCUUGGCUUCCUCCCCAGGAAGCGAUCCUCUCCCGCCACCGCGGAAAGGGUACGUGUUGCAGCAUCGAUGCAUUCAACUAGUUGUUUCUUCUUUCGUCCAUCGAUUGCUGCUGCUGAUCUGCGUAGUAGUGAGCAACGGGCUGCACGUUCAUUGGUUGUGCAGUUUCUGCAAGAACUGCUUUAGUGGUCUUAGUAGCCCAUCUCGUACGUUUCCUGUGUGCUAGCACUAUUUGGAUUGUAACAAGAUUGGUAGUCUUUGGAGAUUUUUCUUGCAAAAACUGGCUGUCGUGCAGUUUUUGUAAGCAGCGCAAAUGCGUUCGUGACUAAAAUAUACCACUGGGCGUGUCUGGUACAGUGGUUGUGUGUGUGUGUGUGCUCCAAACGUUAAAAUUGCGGCAUCCCAAUGUUGAAUUACUAAAUUAUGAAGCUGUUCGUAAGUUAUUGUCAAGUCUUUCCAUCUUUAAGUAUACAUACAUAUAUUUUCAGUCUAGUGCAGUACUAGCUGUAUAUGUGCAACUCAAUGCACACUAACCCCGUCGUUUAUGUAUCUGAUGUACCUUUUUUUUGCUGCAGUGAAGUCCUUCCCGAGGGAUGACCCAAAGAAGCCCUGUCACCUCACCGCCUUCCUUGGCUACAAGGCUGGAAUGACACACAUUGUGGUGAGGUCGAGAAGCCUGGCUCCAGUAAGUUCAAUCAUCAUCAUAGGUCGCGGUUUUUACGUCACGUUCUCUAUGUAUGAGACAACUACUGUUGCUUUUGUGGCUAACAUAAAUAGUCAACAACGAGACUAAGGAUUGCUAUGGGUUGUGCAUGAGAGUAGUAACACUGUUGAUUUUGUGCAGAGCUCCACAAGAAGGAAACUUGUGAGGCUGUGACUAUCAUUGAGACUCCUCCCCUUGUCAUUGUCGGACUUGUGGAAUGUGAAGACCCCCCGUGGCCUACGAACCCUCAACUCUGUCUGGGCCCAACACCUUAGCGAAGAAGUGCGGAGAAGGUUCUACAAGAACUGGUGCAAGAGCAAGAAGAAGGCUUUCUCCAAGUAUGCCCUCAAAUACGACAGCGACGCAGGCAAGAAAGAAAUCCAGUUGCAGCUUGAGAAAGUAUGCUUCAGUUAUCCGUGUUAUUGCCCACACUCAGGUGAGGUUUGAAUUUACUUGUCAUUGUACGACAGUUUAGUUAUAAAUUGUGCUAUGCUCACAUGCUAUAUUCUUUAUCUGAUUUCAGAUUAGAAAGAUGAAGGGUUUGAAGCAGAAGAAGGCUCACCUCAUGGAGAUCCAGGUCAACGGUGGCACUAUAGCAGACAAGGUGGACUAUGGUUACAAGUUCUUUGAGGAGGUCCCUGUUGAUGCUGUGUUCCAGAAGGACGAGAUGAUCGACAUCAUCGGAGUUACCAAGGGCAAGGGUUAUGAAGGCGUGGUCACUCGCUGGGGUGUUACCCGGCUUCCCCGCAAGACCCACAGGGGCCUCCGCAAGGUUGCCUGUAUCGGUGCAUGGCAUCCUGCUAGGGUGUCGUACACUGUUGCUCGUGCUGGUCAGAACGGAUACCAUCACCGCACUGAGAUGAACAAGAAGGUUUACAAGAUUGGCAAGGCCGGACAGGAAAGCCAUGACGCCUCAACUGAGUUUGACAGGUAUCCUUGAUUCACUGCAGCAGUAACAUUGUUCACAAUCUUGAGUUUGCUCCUUCAGUUUCUGAAUGCUGGUUGUUUACAGGACCGAGAAGGACAUCACUCCCAUGGGUGGUUUCCCCCACUACGGUAUCAUCAAGGGCGACUACCUGAUGAUCAAGGGUUGCUGCGUCGGCCCCAAGAAAAGGGUGGUGACUCUCCGCCAGUCUCUGCUGAAGCAGACGUCUCGGUUGGCCCUGGAGGAGAUCAAGCUCAAGUUCAUCGACACCUCGUCCAAGUUUGGACAUGGGCGCUUCCAGACCACAGACGAGAAGCAGAGGUUCUUUGGCAAGCUCAAGGCCUGAGUUGCUGAUGGUGUCAAGCGAAAUGGAAAUGUAUUACCAGAUAGUUUUUUGUUUUUCAGAUUCAGCUUUGUUGGAGAUAUCAUAAGAACAUGUUUGAUUUGCUAGUCUGAGUUGAUUCUAUUGCGGGCGGCUGAAGUUAUAUUACCUAAUGAACUCGAAAGUCAGCUUGCUAGUUGCGUGACUUUACCUGCGCUAGCACUUGCCAAUUUUGAUGGAAUCUCAAAUCUUCCCGCACGCAAUAUGCUCUUGCUCAAUUCAGCCGUUUUUUUACUGUAAUCGUUGUCAGCACAUCUGUCUACAGUGAAUUAACGCUGUAAUUGUUCUGAAUUUUUAAAACAAUUAUCUUAUUAUUCCAUAAAAAGUGCAAAGUGCUUCAUGUAUGCUCCCUAUCGCACCUCCUUCCUAUUUUAAUUUUGCACGGCUACAUGAGCACGACCUUAUAAUAUGGCGCUGCGGCGUACGUGAGGAGUAACGUAUGGGUCAGUUGUAUAAAGGUUCUAACCUACACAGCAUGAGAAAAAUCUUAUCAUAAUUGUGGCUACAAACCAAUUAUACGUCUAAUCCGAUCAAAUCUGUCUAAUCUUAAACGUUGUGACAAGUGAGCCCGCGAACCAAACAAACCAGUUGGUUUGCGAUAAACUACUCGACAAACUUAAAAGAUCUCAAUACGAACAUCAAAAUAUGUACUUGACUUUCAUGUAUAAGAGACCGCAUCACGAUUUUCAUGUAUAAGAGACCACAUGAUAUAACUUUAAGCUCCAGAUCAGAAGAUAUAUAAAAAGAGUCGUGUGAGUCUUUUUUUUUCCUUUAGCACUUUAAAGACCUAUAAGUGAUCCUGUAUCAAAUGAGAUUGUACAUGUCUUCAUGAUUAGAGCAGCAGUAGCAAAUAAAUAUGCGCUUUUACUCCGCUAAGUGUUGAUGGUAGCUAGCAAAUGGAUUAAUUGUUGAUUAUUUGAAGCGGAGGUUGUAGAAUAGUGUGUGUCGUCCCGUCCCAUGUCGAAUCUGGCUAUGCCUGAACGUCUCGACCAAUAUACCAGCACUGUGUGUCUGAGUCUGCUGGUGGCGCAUCAAGCUGGCCGGCGGCCGGCCGGAGUCAGCUCGUCAAGUCAAGAACGGUUUUAAAAAGAAGAGAUAAUUAAGAAAUGCAUCAUCUCAUCCUACGUGACCCGCGAGCAUUCUGGGUUCAGAGUUGAUUGGGUAAUCCAAACCCUUGUGUAUAUGUGACAGGAUAAUCGGUGUGUGAACCAUCAAAACUCGGGCCGGGCUAACUGUAAGCAUAUUAGAAUGUUUUGUCAAGGUUCGUGCUUGUCGAUCGUAGAAACAGAAUGCUCAUUGAAUUUCUUAGUGUAUCUAGACUUUACUCGGGCCGGGCUAACUGACUUUACUCGCGAAAGCAGUAGCAACAGAAUGCUCAUUGAACUUUCUUAGCGUCAAAGGUCCAGAACUGAUAAACAUGUAUGUUGGAGAAUCAGAGAAAAAUGGUCGGGAUAUUUUUGAGAAGGUACAGAAUUUACACAGCCAUGUAAUUGUGUGAAACGUGCAUAAUUUUUUUUUUUUCAGUUUUCCACUGUCAAUCUCAGGCUAGGUCUGCACGCCCAUGUGUCAUUUUCUUUGAUGAGCUUGAUUCCCUCGCUCCUGCACGAGGAUCCUCAGCAGAUUCUGGCGGUGUCAUGGACAGGGUUGUUUCCCAGGUAUCAUUAGCUUCGUCCCUGAGGCGGUGUCACAACUUCUCACAAGUCUUCUGUUAAAUUACUGGGCCAGUGUCUUCUCACUUCCCCCCCUUUUCGUGUCUACUAGUUACUUGUGGAGAUCGAUGGGUUGAGUGACAACAGCCAGGUGUUUCCCUACUCCAUGUCAUACUUGUUUUUAAUUGCCAUUUCUUCGACGCUUGACAUGGAGACAAAAUUGAUUGUAGGACCUUUUCAUUAUUGGGGCUACCAAUAGGCCUGACCUUCUUGAUUCUGCCCUUCUUCGCCUUGGUCGGUUCGACAAGCUUCUUUAUGUCGGUGUAAAUACUGAGGCAUCAUACAGGGAAAGGUCAUUAUUUCGGUUUGCUGAUUCCAAAUUCACCGCAACUGUGAUCUUACUACGAUUUCUAUACAGGAUCCUUAAAGCACAGACGCGCAAGUAUAAGCUGCACAAGAACGUUUCUCUCUUGUCAGUUGCACAAGAAUGGUUUCAUGCAGCAAAGCGAUCAGUGAGUAUUUCUGCCGACCCGUUACGCCAUAUGUUGGGCUCUUCCUAGCUUUGCUCCGUUGAUCUUGCGUGUGGUAUUUUUUAGGUUGAAACAUUCGAAACCGAUCCUUCAAGAAGUAAUGACGCCAGUGCCGAAGAAGUCAUCGUCGAGAUCGACGAUUUUAUCACAGUAAAACUCUAAAUCACUUUGAGUAAGCACAGUAAUAGCCUUUGUGGUCGCAUGCUGCGGAAAUAAGUUGUUGUGUUUGUACGCAGGUGUUAGGAGAUAUCGCACCGUCGCUCUCUCUGGACGAGCUACAAAACUACGAACAGUUGAGGCAGAAGGUCGAAGGACCUUCUAGAUGAAGUUGGGUUUCCACUCCCUGCUGACAUUCUUAAACUGCUAACACACCAAAACAUUCCCUGUCUUACAUUUUCGUUUGUACACAAGUUUUCCUCCCUGAAAACUUGGGCACUUCUAUAUCCAUUCCUGAUUUAUACAAUCACAUCCUUGUAGCAGCAUCUGUAUUGACAUCAGAAUGACAUUUUCUCUGAAGAGAAACAUCCUGUCAUUCUUUGUUAGCAGCUCUGCAACUAUUCUGAAGCCUUUUUUUUUUUGCAGAUGAUGCGAAUCAACUUUGUAUAGUUAGUUUCGUCGAUGUACGCUUGUACCAUGUUGUAGUAAAUGAUAAAGAGAAUAGGAGUCCUUGGAUCAUCUGCUCGUUUGAACCAUUCAGUUAUCAGCCAUCGAAAAUAGCUGUCUGCUAUAUUUUUUUUCGUCAGCGACGAUCUGUCAGGAUCAGGGACUUUUCAUUGCAACGAGUGCUAGGUCAU